UUUUUCUUUGAAUUAGAAGUUUUGCAACUAACUUUGCCAGAUGAUUUGAUGUCAGCUUAUGAGAUUCUUCAUUUUGUUACAGAUGUAGAUUGCUAUCCAAAUGUUUCCGUUGCCUAUCGGAUCCUCUUAACGGUACAAGUGACAAUAACCUCAACUGAAAAAAGUUUCUCUAAAAUGAAACUACUGAAAAUUGGCUAA
rnacentral:rRNA from 1 species